rnacentral:rRNA from 1 species
AGCUUAAAACCCAAAGGACCUGACGGUGCCUUAGACCCCCCUAGAGGAGCCUGCUCUAGAACCGAUAAUCCUCGUUAAACCUCACCAUUUCUGGCCAACCCAGCCUAUAUACCGCCGUCGACAGCUUACCCUGUGAAGGAUCAAAAGUAAGCAAAAAAAAUACUAUUUAAAACGUCAGGUCGAGGUGUAGCUAACGAAAUGGGAAGAAGUGGGCUACAUUUUCUAAAACAGAAUACUACGAACAUGUAAUAUGAAAGAAUACUUUUAAGGAGGAUUUAGUAGUAAAAAGGAAGCAGAGUGUCCUUUUGAACCCGG